GCAAAGUUUUCUUAGGUUAAUUGAUCUGUUAAAAAAUGUAAAUGGUUUUCUCUUUGCCUGCCCAGAAAAUUCAGUUCCUAUGUUUUGUUUUAGCAGGUUUUUAACAUCCCUAGUUAUAUUUAGGCAUGUGCUUUAAAAACUUUCUAAGGUUUUAGCAAUUGUUGACAAGAUUUAAACCAAUGAUAAAUCUUGGGUUACAUUAGGGUAAAUGCUCUAUUCUAGAGAUUCUAUGCAUUUCCUAAAGUUCAAAUGUUUUGAUAAGGUCAUCACCUGAUUUUAUAAUUACAGAA